UUGGGUAUUGACCUAUGCCUUCCUUAGAGCUCUGUGUGUGAAAAGGAUGUUGCCAAUGGAACGGUGUAAUGACAUUUGCCAUUAAGAAGUCAUGCUGAAAUUAGUAAUUCCAGAAUUCACUGAGUUCUUCUGCUCUGCGUCACAGUUGCUGCCUCUGUGACAACCUUCCUUUCCUACUUAGCAAAUCCAAGCCUGGUCGCUUGAGCCCCAGGAAGUUGUUAAAGCAAUUAAAGGCGGCUGUCUCCCAGCACAUUGCUCCGUUACCAUAGUAGCCUCUGCCUCCAAGUCUCUCCUGAUGAUGUCAGUAUGCAUACACGGGUUGCUCAGAGCAUCUACGUGGGGAUGAUUCAUCCCACAAUAAAGCCCCUCUCCUGUUGCUCUCCUGCCAGUGUGAUUAGCAAUGGAGGUCUUUGACCCAGGCAGUCACCGCUCUCAAGGAACAAGUGUCCAUGAAGAAGCAGCCUGAGCUGUUAGGCAUCUGCCUUUGCUCAAGACAUCCUCUGCCUAACUCUCUGUGAUCAGCACUCUUCUCUGGUGAACACAUCAGCGCCAUCUGCCUUCUGUCUGCCUGGAGAGACUUGCCACAGUAGAGCUUCCUCAGCCUCACAUGAACCGCUGCAAAGGAUGUGCGCUCCUUUUGCUGAAGCCGUCAAAUAAAAAAGCUUUUUCAUGAAAAGCUAAAUAGAAUACAUGAAGAUUUUCACGACAGUAGGCUUCCGGAUUAAUGAAAUAUUCAUUUAAAUUGGACUUGGAGGAUAUGUCACUUCUUUUCUUUGAUUAAAAUAUUUAGAGCAUAACACAAAAUCACUGUGUCUUGAAAAAGCCAAACUUCAAGGAAAUUCAGCUGAUGGGGCAUCUUGUUUUCAGUGAGGUUGUUAAAGAUGAUUUUUCCAACCAGGGUCAGGUGCUUGGAACCGUUAGGUGAAUGCUAGGCAUGGUGGGAGUCCUCUUGUGUGCUUAAGAGUUUAAGAGAUCGAACCCAAUAGAUAGUAAGCUUCUUUCAAAGAGAAUGCUAAUUUUAAUGUUUUUAUGACUUAAAUAGAUUGUAAUAAGUUAUUACUUCCUAAUUUAGAUGUUGGUAUGACGACUGGGCAGACGCAUGUUCUUGUUCCACAUCAACAUUGUAUGACUGCAGAGUGUAGCCUGAGUGCUUAGGAAAGGGUACUUUUACGAUAUUGGAAGACUGGACAUCGUGACAUUAGGAGGAGGGAGGGGGUUACUGGGCUGUUCUAAAAUUAGCAAUGUGAAGAGCUGGUUCAAACUUAAUUGCCUAGGUGUGGAAGAAAUAUACUUGUAUUGUGCUUAAUAAUGUGAAUUAUCUGUAUCAUUAAAUAACAGGAAACCCGUUUGAGUUUCUUCUUCCUGUCCAAAUAAAUAAAUAAAUAAAUAAAUAAAUAUAAUUAACACAGUGAAAAAUACUUUGUAGUAUUUAUGGGAGAAACUAAACAAAUAUUCUGUUGUCCAGAGAAUAUUGGAACAAAGUAAAAAGGACCAAGGUUGUGAAACAUUUGAAAGAGCUAUGGAUGAAAUACUCCUAUUGCUUGAAGUUUCUAAGGGCAUUCACUUGUAAGUGAAGGGCAGUGGUGGCCUUUAUAUUUGGGUGGAC
rnacentral:lncRNA from 1 species